rnacentral:rRNA from 1 species
GGGAAUCUUGGGCAAUGGGCGAAAGCCUGACCCAGCAAUACCGCGUGAGGGAUGAAGGCCUUCGGGUCGUAAACCUCUGUCAGCAGGAACGAUGGGUCUCCGUGCUAAUACCACGGAGUCUUGACGGUACCUGCAAAGGAAGCCCCGGCUAACUCCGUGCCAGCAGCCGCGGUAAUACGGAGGGGGCGAGCGUUAUCCGGAAUCAUUGGGCGUAAAGAGCUCGUAGGCGGUUCAGCAAGUCGGCUGUGAAAGUCCAAGGCUUAACCUUGGAAAUGCAGUCGAUACUGCUGUGACUAGAGUCUGGUAGAGGAGAAUGGAAUUCCCGGUGUAGCGGUGGAAUGCGCAGAUAUCGGGAGGAACACCAGUAGCGAAGGCGGUUCUCUGGGCCUCGACUGACGCUGAGGAGCGAAAGCAUGGGUAGCAAA